rnacentral:rRNA from 1 species
AUUGAACGCUGGCGGCAUGCCUUACACAUGCAAGUCGAACGGCAGCACGGGAGCAAUCCUGGUGGCGAGUGGCGAACGGGUGAGUAAAGUAUCGGAACGUGCCCAGUCGUGGGGGAUAACGUAGCGAAAGUUACGCUAAUACCGCAUACGAUCUAUGGAUGAAAGCCGGGGAUCGCAAGACCUCGCGCGAUUGGAGCGGCCGAUAUCAGAUUAGGUAGUUGGGGGGGUAAAGGCUCACCAAGCCGACGAUCUGUAGCUGGUCUGAGAGGACGACCAGCCACACUGGGACUGAGACACGGCCCAGACUCCUACGGGAGGCAGCAGUGGGGAAUUUUGGACAAUGGGCGAAAGCCUGAUCCAGCCAUGCCGCGUGCAGGAUGAAGGCCUUCGGGUUGUAAACUGCUUUUGUACGGAACGAAAAGGUUUGGCCUAAUAAGCUGAGCUCAUGACGGUACCGUAAGAAUAAGCACCGGCUAACUACGUGCCAGCAGCCGCCGUAA